GAAAUGCGAUAAGUAGUGUGAAUUGCAGAAUUCAGUGAAUCAUCGAAUCUUUGAACGCACAUUGCGCCCCUUGGUAUUCCAUGGGGCAUGCCUGUUCGAGCGUCAUUUGUACCCUCAAGCUCUGCUUGGUGUUGGGUGUUUGUCCCGUCUCCGCGCGUGGACUCGCCCCAAAGUGAUUGGCAGCCGGCGUACUGGUCCCGGAGCGCUGCACAUGUCGCGCAAACGAGUGCCUUGGUACGGCGGCGUCCAUAAGCCCCUCUCUCACGCUCUUGACCUCGGAUCAGGUAGGGAUACCCGCUGAACUUAAGC
rnacentral:misc_RNA from 1 species